AUUUCACAAGAGGAUCAGAAGUAGAGCUGUUGAAUUUCUUCUCUAAUGAAACUUAUGAGGCACCCAGGAAAGACAAUCUCAAAUUACGUUUCUUAAACUUGGAGUAGUCUAUCUAAUGGCGGGGAUUCUCAUAUUAUCCAUACUUCUUGUCUGACAUUUCAAAUGGGCUUGCUUAGUGAUGGAUAUAUUCUCGAAGCUGAGUAUUCACAUUUUCCUGAGAUGGCAUUUGAGUCAUUGACAAUAUACAAGGGAGCUUCUGGAGAUUCGGUUGGAAAUAUGCACCAUGGACUUUACCUCCUAAGCUAACAGAUUCUGUAUAGUUUGAUGCUAUUCCACUUCUUACUGAUCAGCAGCGGAUAGUUUUACAUCCAGUUCUUCCCCAAGACUUAAACAGUUCUCUCAUUCCCACGUUUCCACGUGGUCAAUUCUAUUCAUGCUCUUAUUUGAGCAGAGUGAUUACUGUUAACCCUGUGGAAUUGGCUGGCAGGCAGUAUUUCUAUUCAUUAUUAGGUUACUGAUUUUAGUUUCAUAUGAUGGAAAGGUUAGCCUCAUUAAACAUUUAUGUGAUAUCUUGCUUUAGCUAAAAGUCUGCAUACAGUUACAAGUAUGCUUGAAUGUGAAUUAUCUUGCUGAUGCUGCAGGUAGGCGGAACAAUC
rnacentral:lncRNA from 1 species